rnacentral:rRNA from 1 species
AUUGAACGCUGGCGGCAGGCUUAACACAUGCAAGUCGAGCGGAGAGAGGUAGCUUGCUACUGAUCUUAGCGGCGGACGGGUGAGUAAUGCUUAGGAAUCUGCCUAUUAGUGGGGGACAACAUUUCGAAAGGAAUGCUAAUACCGCAUACGUCCUACGGGAGAAAGCAGGGGAUCUUCGGACCUUGCGCUAAUAGAUGAGCCUAAGUCAGAUUAGCUAGUUGGUGGGGUAAAGGCCUACCAAGGCGACGAUCUGUAGCGGGUCUGAGAGGAUGAUCCGCCACACUGGGACUGAGACACGGCCCAGACUCCUACGGGAGGCAGCAGUGGGGAAUAUUGGACAAUGGGCGCAAGCCUGAUCCAGCCAUGCCGCGUGUGUGAAGAAGGCCUUAUGGUUGUAAAGCACUUUAAGCGAGGAGGAGGCUACUUUAGUUAAUACCUAGAGAUAGUGGACGUUACUCGCAGAAUAAGCACCGGCUAACUCUGUGCCAGCAGCCGCGGUAAUACAGAGGGUGCAAGCGUUAAUCGGAUUUACUGGGCGUAAAGCGCGCGUAGGCGGCUAAUUAAGUCAAAUGUGAAAUCCCCGAGCUUAACUUGGGAAUUGCAUUCGAUACUGGUUAGCUAGAGUGUGGGAGAGGAUGGUAGAAUUCCAGGUGUAGCGGUGAAAUGCGUAGAGAUCUGGAGGAAUACCGAUGGCGAAGGCAGCCAUCUGGCCUAACACUGACGCUGAGGUGCGAAAGCAUGGGGAGCAAACAGGAUUAGAUACCCUGGUAGUCCAUGCCGUAAACGAUGUCUACUAGCCGUUGGGGCCUUUGAGGCUUUAGUGGCGCAGCUAACGCGAUAAGUAGACCGCCUGGGGAGUACGGUCGCAAGACUAAAACUCAAAUGAAUUGACGGGGGCCCGCACAAGCGGUGGAGCAUGUGGUUUAAUUCGAUGCAACGCGAAGAACCUUACCUGGCCUUGACAUAGUAAGAACUUUCCAGAGAUGGAUUGGUGCCUUCGGGAACUUACAUACAGGUGCUGCACGGCUGUCGUCAGCUCGUGUCGUGAGAUGUUGGGUUAAGUCCCGCAACGAGCGCAACCCUUUUCCUUAUUUGCCAGCGAGUAAUGUCGGGAACUUUAAGGAUACUGCCAGUGACAAACUGGAGGAAGGCGGGGACGACGUCAAGUCAUCAUGGCCCUUACGGCCAGGGCUACACACGUGCUACAAUGGUCGGUACAAAGGGUUGCUACCUAGCGAUAGGAUGCUAACCUCAAAAAGCCGAUCGUAGUCCGGAUUGGAGUCUGCAACUCGACUCCAUGAAGUCGGAAUCGCUAGUAAUCGCGGAUCAGAAUGCCGCGGUGAAUACGUUCCCGGGCCU